UAUGUGAUCGUCUCUCGCAUAUCAAUAAGCGGAGGAAAAGAAACUAACAAGGAUUCCCCUAGUAACGGCGAGUGAAGCGGGAAGAGCUCAAAUUUGAAAUCUUAAAGGGUUUCCCUUUACGAAUUGUAGUUUAAAGAAGUGUUUUCUGUGGAGGUUUUGGUAAAAGUUCUUUGGAAUAGGACAUCAUAGAGGGUGAGAAUCCCGUAUUUGACCUUUACUUUCAACUUUGUGAUACACUUUCAAAGAGUCGGAUUGUUUGGGAAUGCAGUCCAAAAUGGGUGGUAAAUUUCAUCUAAAGCUAAAUAUUGGCGAGAGACCGAUAGCGAACAAGUACCGUGAGGGAAAGAUGAAAAGAACUUUGAAAAGAGAGUUAAACAGUACGUGAAAUUGUCAAAGGGAAGCGUUUGACACCAGUGUUGUUUUUCUGAAAAUCAAUUAAAGAACUGUUUAUGCUAAGUUGUUUAGACUUUAUCAGCUAUCUGUUUAGUUUUGAGCUUUUCUUUAAUGCACUUUUCAGUUAACAAGUCAACAUCAAUUUCUUUUGCUGUAAAAAAGCUUGAGGAAGGUGGCCUGAGAUUCGUCUUAAGUGUUUAUAGCCUCUUGCCUAUGCAGUCGGAGAGAUUGAGGUCUGCAGCGUAGAUCCUUCGGGGCUAAAUGCAUCUGUGCUAAGUUAUAGCAUUUUAUAGACAACUUGUUGACUAUGAUUUGUCUUGUAGCUUACUCGCUUAUGUUAUUUUACCUACGCUUAGGAUGUUGAGCGCAUGUCUCUCUCU
rnacentral:rRNA from 1 species